GUCGGGAUAGCUCAGUUGGUAGAGCAGAGGACUGAAAAUCC
rnacentral:tRNA from 2 species